GGAAUUAUAGUCAACUAUGAUAUAUGAUUUGCACUCAUAAGGUGUUCAAGAACUAAUUUUA
rnacentral:tRNA from 1 species